rnacentral:lncRNA from 1 species
GAUCCUGUGAAUUUAUAGACUUUAUGAAUAAGUUUAUAAUAAACUAUGCAGAAGUAUCAUUUUUCUCUUAUAUUUCCUUUAUUAUAAAUAUUCUUGUAUCAUUAAUGAUGUCAUGUCAGUGCACUAUAAUAUUAUCCCAAAUUCAAACAAAAUUUUAAAGAAUUUAUAUAUUGUAUUCUUACUCAAAAUGCUCUGUCUCUUAAGGACAUUUUUAAAAAUUUUAAUUUUUUGGAGGGUGAGAUUAGUCCCUACCUCAAUGCAAAAUUUCAAGUUCCUAGCAUAUUCGGAAGCACCAAACAACUUGUGCAGACACACACAAAU